GAUGGUGCUUGCACCUGAUUGACGAUGGAUCACCAGUGAGUGGCGGACGGGUGAGUAACACGUAGGUAACCUGCCCCGGAGCGGGGGAUAACAUUUGGAAACAGAUGCUAAUACCGCAUAACAACAAAAGCCACAUGGCUUUUGUUUGAAAGAUGGCUUUGGCUAUCACUCUGGGAUGGACCUGCGGUGCAUUAGCUAGUUGGUAAGGUAACGGCUUACCAAGGCGAUGAUGCAUAGCCGAGUUGAGAGACUGAUCGGCCACAAUGGAACUGAGACACGGUCCAUACUCCUACGGGAGGCAGCAGUAGGGAAUCUUCCACAAUGGGCGCAAGCCUGAUGGAGCAACACCGCGUGAGUGAAGAAGGGUUUCGGCUCGUAAAGCUCUGUUGUUGGAGAAGAACGUGCGUGAGAGUAACUGUUCACGCAGUGACGGUAUCCAACCAGAAAGUCACGGCUAACUACGUGCCAGCAGCCGCGGUAAUACGUAGGUGGCAAGCGUUAUCCGGAUUUAUUGGGCGUAAAGCGAGCGCAGGCGGUUGCUUAGGUCUGAUGUGAAAGCCUUCGGCUUAACCGAAGAAGUGCAUCGGAAACCGGGCAACUUGAGUGCAGAAGAGGACAGUGGAACUCCAUGUGUAGCGGUGGAAUGCGUAGAUAUAUGGAAGAACACCAGUGGCGAAGGCGGCUGUCUGGUCUGCAACUGACGCUGAGGCUCGAAAAGCAUGGGUAGCGAACAGGAUUAAGAUACCCUGGUAGUCCAUGCCGUAAACGAUGA
rnacentral:rRNA from 1 species